rnacentral:snRNA from 1 species
GUGCUCACUUCGGCAGCACAUAUAAUAAAAUUGGAACGAUACAGAGAAGAUUAGGAUGGUCCCUGCACAAAGAUGACAUUUAAAUUUGUGAAGUGUUCCAUAUUUUU